rnacentral:rRNA from 1 species
UGGGGAAUUUUGGACAAUGGGCGAAAGCCUGAUCCAGCAAUGCCGCGUGUGUGAAGAAGGCCUUCGGGUUGUAAAGCACUUUUGUCCGGAAAGAAAUCCUUGGCUCUAAUACAGUCGGGGGAUGACGGUACCGGAAGAAUAAGCACCGGCUAACUACGUGCCAGCAGCCGCGGUAAUACGUAGGGUGCAAGCGUUAAUCGGAAUUACUGGGCGUAAAGCGUGCGCAGGCGGUUUGCUAAGACCGAUGUGAAAUCCCCGGCUCAACCUGGGAACUGCAUUGGUGACUGGCAGGCUAGAGUAUGGCAGAGGGGGGUAGAAUUCCACGUGUAGCAGUGAAAUGCGUAGAGAUGUGGAGGAAUACCGAUGGCGAAGGCAGCCCCCUGGGCCAAUACUGACGCUCAUGCACGAAAGCGUGGGGAGCAAACAGGAUUAGAUACCCUGGUAGUCCACGCCCUAAACGAUGUCAACUAGUUGUUGGGGAUUCAUUUCCUUAGUAACGUAGCUAACGCGUGAAGUUGACCGCCUGGGGAGUACGGUCGCAAGAUUAAAACUCAAAGGAAUUGACGGGGUCAUAGCUGUUUCCU